rnacentral:rRNA from 1 species
CCUACGGGGGGCUGCAGUGGGGAAUUUUGCGCAAUGGGGGCAACCCUGACGCAGCAACGCCGCGUGAGUGAUGAAGGCCUUCGGGUCGUAAAGCUCUGUCAGAGGGGAAGAAAUGCAGGUGGUGAACAACCAUUCUGUUUGACGGUACCCUCAAAGGAAGCACCGGCUAACUCCGUGCCAGCAGCCGCGGUAAUACGGAGGGUGCGAGCGUUGUUCGGAAUUAUUGGGCGUAAAGCGCGUGUAGGCGGUUUGUUAAGCCUGAGGUAAAAGCCCCGGGCUCAACCUGGAAAGUGCAUUGGAUACUGGCAGACGUGAGUACGGGAGAGGAGAGUGAAAUUCCCAGUGUAGGAGUAAAAUCCGUAGAUAUUGGGAGGAACACCGGUGGCGAGGGCGGCGCUCGGGACCGAUACUAACGCUGAGACGCGAAAGCGGGGGGAGCAAACAGGAUUAGAUACCCCUGUAGU